rnacentral:rRNA from 1 species
CUCCAGGGGGCUCCCCCCGGGCGGUAGAGGUAACACUCUUACGCGCCACAUGUCUGAAUCCUUUUUUUACGAGCACCUUUCGUUCUCCUUCGGUGGGGCAACCUGCCGUUGGAACUUAUCAAAACCUUUUUUGCAUCUAGCAUUACCUGUUCAGAUACAAACAAUCGUUACAACUUUCAACAAUGGAUCUCUUGGCUCUGGCAUCGAUGAAGAACGCAGCGAAAUGCGAUAAGUAGUGUGAAUUGCAGAAUUCAGUGAAUCAUCGAAUCUUUGAACGCACAUUGCGCCCCUUGGUAUUCCAUGGGGCAUGCCUGUUCGAGCGUCAUCUACACCCUCAAGCUCUGCUUGGUGUUGGGCGUCUGUCCCGCCUCUGCGCGUGGACUCGCCCCAAAUUCAUUGGCAGCGGUCUUUGCCUCCUCUCGCGCAGCACAUUGCGCUUUAGAGGGGUGUGGGCCGCGUCCACGAAGCAACAUUAUCGUCUUUGACCUCGGAUCAGGUAGGGAUACCCGCUGAACUUAAGCAUAUCAAUAAGCGGAGGAA